rnacentral:rRNA from 1 species
AUUGAACGCUGGCGGAAUGCUUUACACAUGCAAGUCGAACGGCAGCACGGGAGCUUGCUCCUGGUGGCGAGUGGCGAACGGGUGAGUAAUAUAUCGGAACGUACCCCGUCGUGGGGGAUAACUCUCCGAAAGGAGUGCUAAUACCGCAUACGACCUGAGGGUGAAAGCGGGGGACCUGCAAGGGCCUCGCGCGAUGGGAGCGGCCGAUAUCGGAUUAGCUAGUUGGUGAGGUAAAGGCUCACCAAGGCGACGAUCCGUAGCGGGUCUGAGAGGACGACCCGCCACACUGGAACUGAGACACGGUCCAGACUCCUACGGGAGGCAGCAGUGGGGAAUUUUGGACAAUGGGGGAAACCCUGAUCCAGCCAUUCCGCGUGAGUGAAGAAGGCCUUCGGUGUAAGACUCUUCUAGCAGGAACGAAACGGUAGGCGUUUAAUACUAGUCUGCUAAUGACGGUACCGUGCCAGAAGGAAGACACCGGCUAACUAACGUGCCAGCGAGCCGCGGUAAACGU